UACAGAGGGUGCAAGCGUUAAUCGGAAUGACUGGGCGUAAAGCGCGCGUAGGUGGUUUGUUAAGUUGGAUGUGAAAGCCCUGGGCUCAACCUGGGAACGGCAUCCAAAACUGGCAGACUAGAGUAUAGUAGAGGGGGGUAGAAUUUCCGGUGUAGCGGUGAAAUGCGUAGAGAUCGGAAGGAAUACCAGUGGCGAAGGCGGCCCCCUGGACUGAUACUGACACUGAAGUGCGAAAGCGUGGGUAGCAAACAGG
rnacentral:rRNA from 1 species